AGGUGUUUAGCUCAAUAAGGCAGAGCAUUACACUUUUAAUGUAUUGGCUGUGGGUUCAAAUCCCGCAACACCUA
rfam:Sphaeroforma arctica JP610 cont1.8685, whole genome shotgun sequence.